ACAUGCAAGUCGAACGAGAAUCACCGGAAGGAGUUUUCGGACAACGGAAGGUGAGGACAGUGGCGGACGGGUGAGUAACGCGUGAGGAACCUGCCUUUCAGAGGGGGACAACAGUUGGAAACGACUGCUAAUACCGCAUAACGCAUAGGUAUCGCAUGGUACUUAUGCCAAAGAUUUAUCGCUGAAAGAUGGCCUCGCGUCUGAUUAGCUGGUUGGUGAGGUAACGGCCCACCAAGGCGACGAUCAGUAGCCGGACUGAGAGGUUGACCGGCCACAUUGGGACUGAGAUACGGCCCAGACUCCUACGGGAGGCAGCAGUGGGGAAUAUUGGGCAAUGGGCGCAAGCCUGACCCAGCAACGCCGCGUGAAGGAAGAAGGCUUUCGGGUUGUAAACUUCUUUUGGCAGGGAAGAGGAGAAGACGGUACCUGCCGAAUAAGCCACGGCUAACUACGUGCCAGCAGCCGCGGUAAUACGUAGGUGGCAAGCGUUGUCCGGAUUUACUGGGUGUAAAGGGCGUGUAGCCGGGUUGGUAAGUCAGAUGUGAAAUGCACGGGCUUAACUCGUGAACUGCAUUUGAAACUGCUGAUC
rnacentral:rRNA from 1 species